rnacentral:rRNA from 1 species
AUACGUAGGGAGCGAGCGUUGUCCGGAUUUACUGGGUGUAAAGGGUGCGUAGGCGGGACUGCAAGUCAGACGUGAAAUACCGAGGCUUAACCUCGGGGCUGCGUUUGAAACUGUAGUUCUUGAGUGAAGUAGAGGCAGGCGGAAUUCCUAGUGUAGCGGUGAAAUGCGUAGAUAUUAGGAGGAACACCAGUGGCGAAGGCGGCUUUCUGGACGGUGUCUGACGCUGAGGCGCGAAAGCCAGGGGAGC